UGCCGGCUUUCCAACAGCCGGGGUUACUGAAGAGGCACACCUUCAUUGCCGGACGUGCGGUCGGGUUCUCCCGCCAAUCCAUGGCAGACAAAGCCGAAUUGAAGCCUAGGCGGGCUUCGGUUCACCGUUCGCGCAUGAUGCGCAUGCUUGGUUC
rfam:Shinella sp. HZN7, complete genome.